rnacentral:rRNA from 1 species
UACGUAGGGUGCGAGCGUUGUCCGGAAUUACUGGGCGUAAAGAGCGCGUAGGUGGUUUGUCGCGUUGUUCGUGAAAACCGGGGGCUUAACCCUCGGCGUGCGGGCGAUACGGGCAGACUUGAGUACUGCAGGGGAGACUGGAAUUCCUGGUGUAGCGGUGGAAUGCGCAGAUAUCAGGAGGAACACCGGUGGCGAAGGCGGGUCUCUGGGCAGUAACUGACGCUGAGGAGCGAAAGCGUGGGGAGCGAACAGG